rnacentral:rRNA from 1 species
GAACUUAAGCAUAUCAAUAAGCGGAGGAAAAGAAACUAACAAGGAUUCCCUCAGUAACUGCGAGUGAAGUGGGAAAAGCUCAAAUUUGAAAUCUGGCAGCUCUUUCAGGUUGUCCGAGUUGUAAUCUAGAGAAGCGUUACCUGUGUUGGACCGUGUAAAAGUCUUCUGGAAUGGAGCAUCAUAGAGGGUGAGAAUCCCGUCUUUGACAUGGACUACCAGCAUGCCAAGGUGCACUCUCAAAGAGUCGAGUUGUUUGGGAAUGCAGCUCAAAAUGGGUGGUAAAUGCCAUCUAAAGCUAAAUAUUGGCGAGAGACCGAUAGCGAACAAGUACCGUGAGGGAAAGAUGAAAAGAACUUUGGAAAGAGAGUUAAACAGUACGUGAAAUUGCUGAAAGGGAAACGCUUAAAGUCAGUCGCAUUAGCUGGAAAUCAGGCUUGCUUUUGCAAGGUGCACUUUCUAGUUGAUGGGUCAGCAUCAAUUUUGAUCGUUGGAUAAAGUCAUUGGGAAUGUGGCAUCUUUGGAUGUGUUAUAGCCCAGUGUUGAAUACAGCGGUCAGGAUUGAGGAAUUCAGCAUGCCUCUAGGGGCCAGGUUUCGACCAUGUUCAUGCUUAGGAUGCUGGCAUAAUGGCUUUAAUCGACCCGUCUUGAAACACGGACCAAGGAGUCUAACAUGCCUGCGAGUGUUUGGGUGAAAAACCCAUACGCACAAUGAAAGUGAAAGUUGAGAUCCUUAGGGAGCAUUGACGCCCGGACCAGACCUUCUGUGACGGAUCCGCGGUAGAGCAUGUAUGUUGGGACCCGAAA